rnacentral:sRNA from 1 species
UCGUAAAAUUUGGAUACCAGUCCCUUUA